rnacentral:lncRNA from 1 species
ACGAAUUACAAUUUUCAUCAGCAGGUCGAGAUCUGCAUACUGCACGAAAGCAGAGAGAUCCGUAGUUGACGCACUGACAAAAAGAAGCAGGGAGAUCCGCAAUCACGUUGUCAUAGCACGUAGACCAUGCCGACCUCGAGCAGCGACGCCGGCGGCACGCGCAGCACCACGUCCGGGCCGCGGCAGUUCCGCCGCAGGAAGUUGUAGCCGACGCCGACGGCCAGCUUCUUCAGCACCGACGACCCCGGCUUAGUCUGCACGUGCGAGUGCCCCAGGAUGAACGCCGUCCCCGCCUCCCGCGCCUCGCACAGCUCCUGCAGCUCCUCCAGCACGCGCUCGUCCACGCCGGGGCUCCUCGGCGCCGCGCUCUCCACCGCGAACCUCACCUGCUUCUUAAUCGCCGGCGCCGCCGCCGCGAGCUCGAUCCCGUUCGCGCUGCCAGCGGCCUCGUGGGCCGACGACACGCCGUCGUGGGAGUCGUCGUAUCCC